AGAAUGUAUUUCUCAGAACUGGGCUUAGAUGUACUUUUCCUACACAUUUUGACUCAAAUUGAAAGGAUAGUUCAACUUCAACUAUCACAGCGUAGUUGCAACAAAAAACAAUGAAUGGAGGAAUCUUGCACACUUGAGAGCAGUUAAAAAAACCUUCUGAUACAGUUUAAACCUUUCCUUGACUGGCUCUCGGUGGCCCUCUUUGUUUCCUGUACCUGUGGUAGGUGGACUUGUACACGCAGAAAAAAAAAGGAACUUGCAUUCACAUCCUUCUUUCAGUAACUGACAGGAAACAAUGAAGAAGAGAACAGCUCUAACAAUUCUAUGCUGUUCCGUGUUCUGUGAGGCUUUUGGAGCAGGUCAAAAUGAGAUUCUAGUGGAACCAGGGGACACAGUCACCCUUGGCUGUGACAUUACCCUGGAGUACGAGGUCAUGUGGUUUGCUCUUCGUCCUGAUGCCACUCUUUCAGUAGCCAUCACUAUAAAGACAAAUACACCCCUGAGCCUCAACAAAAGGUUUGAUGGUCGUUUCGAGUCAGUGUAUGACACAGGCCUGUUCCGAAGCAAUCUGAGCAUACUGAACAUCUCAGAGAGUGACGUGGGUCUGUACUACUGUGUUGAGCAGAGGGCUAACAUAUUUGAGAUCGGAAGUGGGACCAAGCUCUCCCUUAUCAGUGGUGAUCAGCUCUCUACUACUGUUGUUGGGAUGAAGUUGUCAUGGUUUAUCACCUUGAUCAUAGCCCCCAUGUUCUCUGUACUGGGGUCUGCUCUCUGUGUCUUCUGCUGUUGACGACCUCCUAAGAAAUGAUUUGCACCCAAUAAUUCUAAUUUUCACAUUGAAUCAGCUUUCUGAAAUGUCUUUUUUAAAUACUUAUGUGGUGCAACUCACGGUCUGUAAAUCGGUCAUUGGUGUUUAUUGCGCAUUUCAUGAAGAUAAAAAAAAAUAGCUGUCCUCUUACACUGUAGAUCCUGACAAAAUGAGGAUUCUGGAACAAUUUGGUUGAAGCCUGUCAUCUAGAGGACCAAGAGUGAGUAUAGGAGGACAAACAGGAAUAAAAUGUAAAGAUACUGAGAGUAAAAGUAACAUUUCUGGUGUUUUAUGAAGACUCCUGUGACACACGGGGUUAAACUUCUGCCACUCCAUACAUCUAAGUAGGUGGACGAUGGGAUCUACAUGUGUCCAGAUUGGUUUCACAUCUUUGUAUUUAUUGUGUUAUUCCAGUGUUGAUUGCAUGACCAGUAUGUUCAGGGUGUUAGAGAUAGAAAUGUAUUGAACAAGAUCAUUGUAGACAUGUGAUCAUAAAUCAUUCACGUCAUAUCUACCAUUCCAUCCACGGACCAAUUAUCAAAACAGUAGUGGUUUAACCAUAAAUCUGCAACUAUAAAUAUAUUUUUAAAUCUGAAACGCAACAACCUGCUGUUAUACUGUAUGUAGUGUAUUCAGAAUGUAUUCAGACCGCGUGACUUUUUCCCGCAUUGUUACGUUACAGCUUAUUCUAAAAUUGAUUAAAUUAUAUUUUUCUUCAUCAGUCUACACACAAUACCAUUUAAUUACAAAGCAAAAAAAAUGUUUACAUUUUGGCACGUGUGCACACAUAUAUAUACAUAUAUAUAAAAAGAAGUAAAUAUCACAUUUACAUAAGUAUUCAGACCAUGCUUCAUCAUAUGAAUGAUGCCAGUUUUCCUCCAGACGGGACAAUUGGCAUUCAGGCCAGAGUUCAAUCUUGGUUUCAUCAGACCAGAGAAUCUUGUUUCUCAUGGUCAGUCCUUUAGCUGCCUUUUGGCAAACUCCAAGUGGGCUGUUAUGUGCCUUUUACUGAAGAGUGGCUUCCGUCUGGCCACUCCACCAUAAAGACCUGAUUGGUGGAGUGCUGCAUAGAUUGUUGUCCUUCUAGAAGGUUCUCCCAUCUCCACAGAGGAACUCUGGAGCUCCAUCAGUGACCAACAGGAUCUUGGUCAUCUCCCUGACCAAUCCAUUUAAGCAUGAUGGAGGCCACUGUAUUCUUGGGGAACUUCAAUGCUGCAGAAAUGUUUCAAUACCUUUCCCCAGAUCUGUGCCUCGCCACAAUCCUGUCUCUGAGCUCUACGGACAAUUCCUUCGAUCUCAUGGCUUGGUUUUUUACCUCUGACAUGCACUGCCAACUGUGGGACCUUGUUUAGCUUUCCAAAUCAUGUCCAAUCAAUUGAAUUUACCACAGGUGGACUCCAAUCAAGAUUUAGAAACAAUCAAAGAGGAUCAAUGGAAACAGGAUGCAUCGGAGCUUAAUUUCGAGUCUGAAUACUUAUGUAAAUAAGGUGGACUUGUUAACCACAGAAAAAAAGAAAUGUGUUGAUGCAUUCACAUCCUAUGCAGUUCUUUCAGGAACUGACAAGAAACGAUGAAAAAGAGAACAGCUCUAACAAUUCUAUGUUGUCAAAAUGAGAUUCUAGUGAAACCAGGGGACACAUCGGCUGUGACAUUACCCUGGACGAGAUCAUGUGGUUUUCGAGUCAGUGUAUUACACAGGCCUGUUCAGAAGCAAUCUGAGCAUACUGAACAUCUCAGAGAGUGACGUGGGUCUGUACUACUGUGUUGAGCAGAGGGCUAACAUAUUUGAGAUCGGAAGUGGGACCAAGCUCUCCCUUAUCAGUGGUGAUCAGCUCUCUACUACGGUUGUUGGGAUGAAGUUGUCAUGGUUUAUCACCUUGAUCAUAGCCCCCAUGUUCUUUGUGCCGGGGUCCGUUCUCAGUGUCUGCCUGUUGACCACCUGAUCCUCUGCCAAAUGAGGAUUCUAGAACAACUUGGUUGAAGCCUGCCAUCUAGUGGACCAAUAUCCAGAAAAGCAUAUAAAUUAGGGUAGAGGACCAAACAUAAUAAAAUUGAAAGAUGACAAAUAUAACAUUUCUGGUGUUUGAGGUGUCCCGUGAUCCACUGGGCCAAACUUCUGUCACUCCUUACAUCUAAGUAGGUGGGCGAUGGGGACUACAGAUGGGACGGCAGGGUAGCCUAGUGGUUAGAGCGUUGGACUAGUAACCGAAAGGUUGCAAGUUCGAAUCCCCGAGCUGACAAGGUACAAAUAUCUCUUGUUCUGCCCCUGAACAGGCAGUUAACCCACUGUUCCUAGGCCAUCAUUGAAAAUAAGAAUUUGUUCUUAACUGACUUGCCUAGUAAAAUAAAAUAAAAAAUGUUCACACAUUUUCCAGUGUUGAUUGCAUGAGCAAAAUGUUCAGGGUGUUGGAGAUAGAAAUUUAUUGAUCAGAACAAUAUUAUUUUAGACAUGAUCUUAAAAAUCAUGUGUCACAUCUACCAAUCCAUCCAAGGACCAAUUGUCAAAUUGGCUUAACCAUAAAUCUAACUAUGCAUUUGUUAAUUAUCUGAACAACCUGUUAUGCUGCUAGAACACUUCAACCAAAUCAGAUAAGAACAAUUUAUUCAAAGGUUAGAGAUAGAAAAUGUAUAAAAGUCACUCCACAACUGGUUGAAAAUACAGAACAGGAUUUAAAAACCACAUUGUGGCGCAGAGUUGAGACAGUAAUAGUCAAACAUUGCACAGUAUUUCCUUUGGCGCCCUCUAAUAUAUUAAAUCUAAAUAUUAUCGUUAUCAGCUAUCAUACAUCUAUACACAUAUGCAGAAACAAAAACAAAGUACAGUAGAUAAGAGCAUCUAUAUAGAUUAGAUAAAACUGAACUACCUAAAGUUCUGUCUCAAAAGAGCAUUUUAAAAAGGCAUUAUAUAUGCAAUUUGUUAACUUUCAAAUGUGGGGAUCUAUGCUGACAUUAAAACCUUUGAUCAUAAUAAAUUAUUUGUACAGUGAGUGUGGGAUAUUACCAGGGGUCAGUAACCGUUUCAUAGUUGAACACCUCUUAACUUACUUUCUACAAAGUAGAAAGAACGUAAUGCUGACAAUGAUCCUCCGUUAUCAAGGAUGAAGAAAAUCAUAAGUACAGUAGUUGUACAGUAAGGCCGAGGGUUUAAAGGGAUAGUUUAGGAUUUUACACAACUUAUCGUUAGGCUUCUCACUCUGCCAGUAGUCUUUGGGCCAGGAGAAACAGUAAUGCAUUGUUCUGUUCCCUUUAAAACAGCCACUUCAAAACAUCACAUAACUUAAGCCACCACUAGCUGACGUGAAUGGGACAUUGCAUUUAGAAA